rnacentral:misc_RNA from 1 species
GUAUUGCGCGAUGGAUCCCUGCUCGGGCAGCGACAUCGUCUCAUUCACGCCUCUUCAUUUGUUGGCGCGAGCAUCCGCUCGCCCAUUGUYGGYUUUCCUGUGCUGGAUACCCGUCCCGGGGCAUYAAACGUCGGUUAAAUUGUUCUCAGCCGYCUCGCUCUGCUGCCCCUCGCGGGCAAGCGGCGCGGGGYGGCCCACGUAGCKCAYGCCGUGUGUCCCAUCCCGGUGGCCCCGUAAGAAGGGCGUCCGGGCUGACGAUCCAYGGCUUGAUGCUCGGACCCUUGGGUACGGAACGUCGCGUGGGGUACGGGGCCGUYGGCCCCGGAGCACCACAAACAAGCGUUCUACGCUUCGUGCGAACGACCGUYGGCCCGGUCUCCUGCCGGCCCCCGUGGCUCGGCUUGGGACCGUGYCGGCGUCGAUGAGGAAUGCUACCU